CCUACGGGAGGCAGCAGUGAGGAAUAUUGGUCAAUGGCCGGAAGCCUGAACCAGCCAAGUCGCGUGAGGGACGACUGCCCUAUGGUUUGUAAACCUCUUUUAUCAGGGAAGAAUAAAUGCUACGUGUAGCAUGAUGCCUGUACCUUAUGAAUAAGCAUCGGCUAACUCCGUUCCAGCAGCCGCGGUAAUACGGAGGAUGCGAGUGUUAUCCGGAUUUAUUGGGUUUAAAGGGUGCGUAGGCGGUUUUUUAAGUUAGUGGUUAAACGUCUGGGCUUCACCUUGAUUUGCCAUUAAUACUGUAAGACUCGAGUUCAGACGAGGUAGGCGGAAUAAGUUAAGUAGCGGUGAAAUGCUUAGAUAUAACUUAGAACUCCGAUAGCGAAGGCAGCUUACCAGACUGCGACUGACGCUGAAGCACGAGAGCGUGGGUAGCGAACAGGAUUAGAUACCCGGGUAGUC
rnacentral:rRNA from 1 species